UCCCUGGUGGCUCAGACAGUAAAGCAUCUGCCUACAAUGUGGGAGACCCAGGUUCAAUCCCUGGAUCGGGAA
rnacentral:tRNA from 1 species